rnacentral:SRP_RNA from 1 species
AUUUCGGUCCUAUGCAAUACGAACCCAUGAAUCAUGUCAGGUCCUGACGGAAGCAGCAUUAAGUGGAUCCUCGUAUGUGCCGUAGGGUAGCCGAAAUUUAG